CUAGCCGCGGGAAUACGUAGGGUGCGAGCGUUAAUCGGAAUUACUGGGCGUAAAGCGUGCGCAGGCGGUUGUGUAAGACAGGUGUGAAAUCCCCGGGCUUAACCUGGGAACUGCGCUUGUGACUGCACAGCUAGAGUAUGGCAGAGGGGGGUGGAAUUCCACGUGUAGCAGUGAAAUGCGUAGAGAUGUGGAGGAACACCGAUGGCGAAGGCAGCCCCCUGGGCCAAUACUGACGCUCAUGCACGAAAGCGUGGGGAGCAAACAGGAUUAGAUACCCCGGUAGUCCCUGUCUCUUAUACAA
rnacentral:rRNA from 1 species